rnacentral:lncRNA from 1 species
GCAGGGGCCUAUGGAUUUGCCAGUGACCUUUAAAAUGUGACUGUGUUGCUGAGAGUUCAAUGAUUAUUGAUGUAUAUUCCCUUUCUCCUCAGUCUACUUAACUACACAUUAAUAUUGUUUCUUCCCUUGUAGGCUCUCUUUAUCUUUACCUCUGUGACACAGACAUCUAACUGCCUAUCCAGUAUCCAAUAUUCCUUCAUAACUACAAUUCCCAGUCCCCCAAAAAGCCAACAACAAUAAUAUACCACCUACCUAUCCCCACCUCUCUUAUUCAGGAUGGCCAUCUGACUAACUUCUAACCAUGAGUAAAAAAUGGUGGGCAGAGCUUUCAGGAAACCCUAAAAGGGUCUGGCUCAACUGACCUGUGCCUGGUGUCAUCAGGGUCCCAGCAAAGAAACGGAUGUCACACUGAACUUAGUAAAACUUAGGAUGGUUU